UACAGAGGUCUCAAGCGUUGUUCGGAUUCAUUGGGCGUAAAGGGUGCGUAGGUGGCGCUGUAAGUCGGGUGUGAAAUUUCGGAGCUUAACUCCGAAACUGCAUUCGAUACUGCGGUGCUUGAGGACUGGAGAGGAGACUGGAAUUCAUGGUGUAGCGGUGAAAUGCGUAGAUAUCUGGAGGAAUACCGGUGGCGAAGGCGGCAUCCUGGACCGGCAUUGACGCUGAGGAGCGAAAGCUAGGGGAGCAAACGGGG
rnacentral:rRNA from 1 species